rnacentral:rRNA from 1 species
UACGUAGGGGGCAAGCGUUGUCCGGAUUCAUUGGGCGUAAAGAGCGUGUAGGCGGCCAGGUAGGUCGGUUGUGAAAACUGGAGGCUCAACCUUCAGAGGUCGACCGAAACCAUCUGGCUAGAGUCCGGGAGAGGAGAGUGGAAUUCCUGGUGUAGCGGUGAAAAUGCGCAGAUAUCAGGAGGAACACCGGUGGCGAAGGCGGGUUCUCUGGGCCGGAACUGACGCUGA